AAUAUCUACUAGGGGUGUUCUAACGAACUGAGAGAAACAAGUUGUUUCGACCCUUUGAACUUGAUCUAGUUGAAACUAGCGUAAGGAAGUAUGACUUGAUGAUU
rnacentral:ncRNA from 2 species